rnacentral:lncRNA from 1 species
AACCUAGUCCAAGAACAAGACGAGCAAUGCAGAGGCGAAUGAACACGGAACCCGAAACAAGUUCCGAUGAAGACGAUGAGGAUGUCCCAAGCAAGCCAACAACGAGACAUGCAUCAAAUAGACAUCCAAUAUCUCCUGAUAAAAAUGAGCCUUCAACGCCCAUUAAAAAUGAGAGUGGAUCAAGUAGUGAUACUUGUAUGACUCCAGUCACCGUAUCCAACACGUGUCUGCUAGUAGCUGCAGCUGUUGGCCCACUCGCUCCAGGAUUCAAGUUUCCUCAGACAAAAAAGCCAUCACUAAAUAGUUGGACCAAGUCCCACGACUCAGCGGGUGGUGACGAGUCACCCCCUAAAAAUACUCCUCAAGGAAGCAAUGGAGUAACAGGGAACGGGAACGGGGCUGGAUUUGCCAAGAAGCGUUGGCUAAGACAAGCCAUCAGCGAAGAAUCGGAGACACCCGCAGGUGGCUCUGCCUUCAUAGAGCAAGCAGUCGGACCAUUAAAGAAACGAAGGCUGGCGAGAGAGUCUAUGUCAUCGGAGCAGUCAUUCACUCCGCCAACAACGCCAACUCAUGUUGGCAGCAAUUCUCUGCCUGGUUUUGAUGAAGAUUCUCGCAUGUCAGCUCAUGAGGAAAUGAACAUGGACCAGGGAGCGACCAGUUGUGACUCAGCGAUUAACGAAGACGGUGAUCUCAGUCCUGAGCUCAUCAAAAGGAAUCUAAGUCCGGAGCUGAUCCAAAGAAAUAAGAACCUGGAAGAAGUGAAACAGGAACUCUUCGAAGAUGAAGCUGAGGAAGACAAGGAGCACCCGAUCGCAUCCAGCCCUGAACUAAUUAAAAGAGAACCUGAGCCGGAGCCAAAAAUCGAAGUAGAAUCGGACAAGACGGAGAUGAAACUCAUAGACAGGGUGGAACAGGAGUUGUCCAAUCUUAUGGGCUUUACAGAUACUAAACCGUUGUUGUUCAGUCUUGAAACAAAGAAAGAAGAGCAGCCAGAAGAAGUAGAAACGCCUCCGCCACAAGAGGCAACACCUGCAGCCGUCAGAAAAAAGCUUUCAAUAUCUGAGUACCGACAAAGAAAAGGUGGCAAUGCGCCUGUGAAACAACCAAUGACUGAUAAGGACGAAGAAGAGUUAUCCGUUCCCCAUUCACCAUCCUCCUCGAGCUCGUCUCCGCCAACAUUCCCUGAUGUUGAAGAUGCUUCAGCGAUCAUUGCUAAAUCUCUAGAGCUCGAAUCCACUAUCGCUCAACAGCUGGACAGCAAAAAAGGUGGCAAAAGGUUUGUCGCAUCUUCAACCCUUGUGGAGAAGCAGAGAGAAAAUUUAACGGAAAGGCUGAAGCGUGAAUUUGGACUUGUUCUUGAUGAUGAUGAAGAGCAGGAGAAGAACAAGAGAAAAGUUUCGGAAGAUGACGAACAAGAUAAAACCAAAAAGAAAACUUUGAGCGAUCCACCGCCAGCUCUACCGAAACUGAAGGAGCCUAUCAUUUCAAUGUCUGUUCCAUCGAACUUCCCACCGGUUCCAACAACGAAGAAAACUAAACAUGGAUCGCAACCACCCCCUCCGCCGCCACCAUCGGAACCCCUCCCUUGUUUCAACCUUUCUAUUACCCUUACUCUCAUUUUCCCCCAAUGCCGAGACAUCCCCACUAGAGAACAAUCAAGUGGUGAUGCGGUCAUUGUACGUGUAGAGUUCAAGGUUCUAUCACCUCGACGUUUGUGUUUUCUCUGA